UACCCUGUAGCAUGCAUUGUGUUUUCAGCCUUUUGAGGCAUUUUCACGUCCAUCAUAGCAUAGGAUUGGGGAGCUAGGAGUCAGAGUGGGUGUGACUCGUGUGUGUUUGGCAGCUGCUCAUUGAGAACCUUUAAGGUCGAGGCUCCCAGUCAGAAUUUUAGGUACCUGCCUGUUGACCUCUGGCUCUAGGAUGUGUGUUUUAGAAACCUGUAUCUAGUGUGCGUGCGUGUGUGCUCACUGGAGCGAGUACUAGGAGGUUGUAGGGAGGAACACCAGGUAUUACAGAAGGGAUCACUAGACUAACAUCACUGAAUAGCUGUAGAUAGGUGAGCAUGCUUUAGGUCAUUUAGUUCAAUCAUUUUCCCAGUGCUUUUAGCCCUCUUCAGAGUCUAACUCCAUGGCCCUCCAGUCUCAACUUGGACACCUCCAAAAAAAACAUUCACUUCAACAAAAGUUUAUUGAGUGCCUAUUAUGUGACAGGCUAGGAACUUGGGAUACAGUAGUGAACAAAACAAAGAUGUAUUUCCUCUCUUGAGUUUUGUAGUUUUGUUGUUGGUUUGGUUUUUAUUGGUCUUGUCAUACGAUCUGCGUACAUCUCUGAAUCCUUUUUUUUUUUUUUUUGAGUUGAAGUCUCGCCCUUGUCGCCCAGGCUGGAGUGCAA
rnacentral:lncRNA from 1 species